AGCGAACGCUAGUGGCGGGCUUAACACAUGCAAGUCGAGCGCUUCAUUUCGGUGAAGAGCGGCGGACGGGUGAGUAACGCGUGGGAAUCUGCCCUCUGGUGGGGAAUAACUCGGGGAAACUCGAGCUAAUACCGCAUAUGGCCUCCGGGUCAAAGAUUUAUUGCCAGAGGAUGAGCCCGCGUCCCAUUAUUUAAUCCUAGUUGGUGGGGUAACGGCCUACCAAGGGUACGAUGGGUAGCUGGUCUGAGAGGAUGAUCAGCCACACUGGGACUGAGACACGGCCCAGACUCCUACGGGAGGCAGCAGUGGGGAAUAUUGCGCAAUGGGCGAAAGCCUGACGCAG
rnacentral:rRNA from 1 species